UACGGCUCAGUAACACGUGGACAACCUACCCUUAGGUCAGGGAUAACCCCGGGAAACUGGGAAUAAUACCUGAUAUGGCGCGAAGGCUGGAAUGCAUCGCGCAAGAAAGCUCCGGUGCCUAAGGAUGGGUCUGCGGCCUAUCAGGGUAGUAGUGGGUGUAACGUACCUACUAGCCUACGACGGGUACGGGUUGUGAGAGCAAGAGCCCGGAGAUGGAUUCUGAGACACGAAUCCAGGCCCUACGGGGUGCAGCAGGCGCGAAAACUUUACAAUGCCGGCAACGGCGAUAAGGGAACCUCGAGUGCCAGGAUACAAUCCUGGCUGUCGUAAUGCCUAAAAAGCAUUUCAUAGCAAGGGCCGGGCAAGACCGGUGCCAGCCGCCGCGGUAACACCGGCGGCUCGAGUGGUAACCGUUAUUAUUGGGUCUAAAGGGUCUGUAGCCGGCUGGGUAAGUCUCUUGAGAAAUCCGGCAGCUCAACUGUCGGGCUUUCAGGAGAUACUGUCCGGCUCGAGACCGGGAGAGGUGAGAGGUACUUCAGGGGUAGGGGUGAAAUCUUGUAAUCCUUGAAGGACCACCAGUGGCGAAGGCGUCUCACCAGAACGGAUCUGACGGCAAGGGACGAAAGCUAGGGGCACGAACCGGAUUAGAUACCCGGGUAGUCCUAGCCGUAAACGAUACUCGCUAGGUGUCGGCCACGGUGCGACCGUGGUCGGUGCCGUAGGGAAGCCGUGAAGCGAGCCACCUGGGAAG
rnacentral:rRNA from 1 species